rnacentral:lncRNA from 1 species
AAGUAUGGUUCUCAGGGCAUUUGAACUUAUGGAAAAGUUAGUGGGAGUGCCAACAAAAACAAGAUCCAAGGUAACUAUACAAUUGGCUGAUUUAAUGUCUUCUUCAUAUGUUGUGGCUCUCUAAUUAAAUAAUGUAAUAAUUUGUUAAUAGGGAAAAUAAUUAUUGAAAAUAAACAUCCUAAUCAUGUUAUUUACAAGGGAUGUGUAGCUGUGGAGAAUUUUAUUAUAACUGCAACAAUAGUUGGCUUCCUUAAUUUUGCCAAGAAUAUAUUGUCUGAAAAUAAGAAAUAGAUGUGUCCAUGAACUAAGAGGAGCCAAGCAUGGUUAAAACCUUGAAAUCUUUGGAUUGGUUUAAUAUUUUAAUAUUUUAAAAUAUAUUCUAAAUAAAAUAAAUUUUUUUUUUUAAUUUAUAUUAACACAAUUGACUUGAGUUGGAUUUUUUUGGUUUCAUAUGUGGUUGUGUUAUUGGAAAUAUUUUUUUUUUUGUUCUUUACAACCAUAUUGGCGACAAUAAUCAUGGUUUUCUUUAAUUGAGGGUUGCAUUUUGACCUUUCAUUACUCAAUUGUGCUUUAAGGUACAGUGAAGAUUUUUCUUUCGCAUGAAUGUGGUGAAGAUUUGGAUGAAGUUGAUUUUUGUUGCCCCAGAGAAAAUAAGUUUGUUGAUCUUUUAAAUGAGAAAAUUUUGUUUAGUUGACUGUUUAGUUAAUAUGGUUAAGGAACAAGUUGUGGAUUUGACUACUCAGAUUGUAUAGAGUGUACUUUGUUGAUUUUGUAUUUUCAACAAAGCUCUUUGUUUUCCGUCAGAACUCUAUUUUUUAUUAUUGUAUUUGCUCUGUUUAGAAGGAAGCCUUG